GCCGGGAUGGCAGAGCGGCCUAAUGCGCUGGUCUUAAGAACCGAUGGUUCAUCCGAUCCACAUGGGUUCGAAUCCCAUUCCCGGCG
rnacentral:tRNA from 1 species